rnacentral:rRNA from 1 species
AUUGAACGCUGGCGGCAUGCCUUACACAUGCAAGUCGAACGGCAGCAUGAUCUAGCUUGCUAGAUUGAUGGCGAGUGGCGAACGGGUGAGUAAUACAUCGGAACGUGCCCUGUAGUGGGGGAUAACUAGUCGAAAGAUUAGCUAAUACCGCAUACGACCUGAGGGUGAAAGUGGGGGACCGCAAGGCCUCAUGCUAUAGGAGCGGCCGAUGUCUGAUUAGCUAGUUGGUGAGGUAAAGGCUCACCAAGGCGACGAUCAGUAGCUGGUCUGAGAGGACGAUCAGCCACACUGGGACUGAGACACGGCCCAGACUCCUACGGGGGGCAGCAGUGGGGAAUUUUGGACAAUGGGCGAAAGCCUGAUCCAGCAAUGCCGCGUGUGUGAAGAAGGCCUUCGGGUUGUAAAGCACUUUUGUCCGGAAAGAAAUGGCUCUGGUUAAUACCUGGGGUCGAUGACGGUACCGGAAGAAUAAGGACCGGCUAACUACGUG